rnacentral:rRNA from 1 species
UGGGGAAUAUUGCACAAUGGAGGGAACUCUGAUGCAGCGACGCCGCGUGAACGAAGAAGGCUUUCGAGUCGUAAAGUUCUUUUAUAUGGGAAGAUAAUGACGGUACCAUAAGAAAAAGCCCCGGCUAACUACGUGCCAGCAGCCGCGGUAAUACGUAGGGGGCUAGCGUUGUCCGGAAUCACUGGGCGUAAAUGGUUCGUAGGCGGAAAUGCAAGUUAGGUGUAAAAGGCAGUAGCUUAACUACUGUAAGCAUUUGAAAAUGCAUAUCUUGAGAAGAGUAGAGGUAAGUGGUAUUUUUAGUGUAGCGGUGAAAUGCGUAGAUAUUAAAAAGAAUACCGGUGGCGAAGGCGACGUACUGGGCUCAUUCUGACGCUGAGGAACGAAAGCGUGGGUAGCAAACAGG